GACGAACGCUGGCGGCGUGCUUAACACAUGCAAGUCGAACGGAAAGGCCCUGCUUUUGUGGGGUGCUCGAGUGGCGAACGGGUGAGUAACACGUGAGUAACCUGCCCUUGACUUUGGGAUAACUUCAGGAAACUGGGGCUAAUACCGGAUAGGAGCUCCUGCUGCAUGGUGGGGGUUGGAAUGUUUCGGCGGUUGGGGAUGGACUCGCGGCUUAUCAGCUUGUUGGUGGGGUAGUGGCUUACCAAGGCUUUGACGGGUAGCCGGCCUGAGAGGGUGACCGGCCACAUUGGGACUGAGAUACGGCCCAGACUCCUACGGGAGGCAGCAGUGGGGAAUAUUGCACAAUGGGCGGAAGCCUGAUGCAGCAACGCCGCGUGCGGGAUGACGGCCUUCGGGUUGUAAACCGCUUUCGCCUGUGACGAAGCGUGAGUGACGGUAAUGGGUAAAGAAGCACCGGCUAACUACGUG
rnacentral:rRNA from 1 species